UUUCAAAAAGCAGCCAAAAGUGUCUUUUGUUGCUAUAACAACAGCUACUGCCACAGUAUCCUAGCUAGAGCGCUAUGUGGAGCAGUGCUAACGUUAGAUAAAACAAAGUGGUGGAGCGAGCUAGAGAAAGAACAGAGAGAGAGAGAGAGAGAAAGAACAGAGAGAGAGAGAGAGAGAGGUUCUAACGUUAGAUAAAACAAAGCGAGUUCCCUGUACAGGGAGCACCCGGUCAUAUCGUAUAACUCGCUGUGCUCCGACUCCAUUUUUUCUUGUUG